AGUGAACGCUGGCGGUAGGCCUAACACAUGCAAGUCGAACGGCAGCACAGUAAGCUUUCGCUCUUACGGGUGGCGAGUGGCGGACGGGUGACGAAUACAUCGGAUUCUAAUUUUUCGGGGGGGAUAACGUAAGGAAACUUAUGCUAAUACAGCAUAUGACCUACGGGUGAAAGCAGGGGAUAUUCGGACCUUGCCCGAUUGUAUGAGACGAUGUCGGAUUAGCUAGUUGGCGGGGUAAAGGCCCACCAAGGCGACGAUCCGUAGCUGGUCUGAGAGGAUGAUCAGCCACACUGGAACUGAGACACGGUCCAGACUCCUACGGGAGGCAGCAGUGGGGAAUAUUGGACAAUGGGCGCAAGCCUGAUCCAGCCAUACCGCGUGGGUGAAGAAGGCCUUCGGGUUGUAAAGCCCUUUUGUUGGGAAAGAAAAGCAGCAGGUUAAUACCCCGCUGUUCUGACGGUACCCAAAGAAUAAGCACCGGCUAACUUCGUG
rnacentral:rRNA from 1 species